rnacentral:lncRNA from 1 species
UAAAAUGCAAUUUUAAACUGUGAUUAAUAUUUAUAAAAAUAAUUUUAUUUCUGUUUUAAAUAAUUUGCAGUAAUAUAUGAAGAAUUUAUAUUUUCCAGCCAUAUAUCAUACAGAUUGUAUACAAUAUAAAAUUUCUGCUUUUUAUAUCAGUAUCAUCAUUGUAUGCUGACACUGUGAGAUGAAUCCCAAUAUAUAUCAUACUUUCAUUAGGCCACAGGUGUUGACAUUGUACAAAUUAGACUUGAAAUUGUUUGGCGGUGAGGGCAGUUUAUAUAAGCCUGUGCACAGAGCUAUGGUGGGCAGGAAAAUGUCCCAGAUUGAACAAUGUACCAACAUAAAGUUUUUCUACAAAUUAGGCAAAAGUGCACAUGAAACUUUGGAAAUACUAUAGCAAAUGUAUGGAGGA